UACGAAGGGUGCAAACGUUGCUCGGAAUUAUUGGGCGUAAAGCGCACGUAGGUGGUCUGUUAUGUCAGAUGUGAAAGCCCUCGGCUUAACUGAGGAAGUGCACCUGAAACUGGCAGGCUUGAGUACGAAAGAGGGUCGCGGAAUUCCCGGUGUAGAGGUGAAAUUCGUAGAUAUCGAGAGGAACACCUGCGGCGAAGGCGGGUUGCUGGGCCGACACUGACGCUGAUGCGCGAAAGCCAGGGGAGCGAACGGG
rnacentral:rRNA from 1 species